GAUGAACGCUGGCGGCGUGCCUAACACAUGCAAGUCGAGCGGAAAUAUUCAGAAGUAUACGUACGGAUGGAUAUUUUAGCGGCGGACGGGUGAGUAACACGUGAGCAACCUACCUUUUGCUGGGGAAUAACAUCGGGAAACCGAUGCUAAUACCGCAUGACAUUCCGAUGGGGCAUCCUGUUGGAAUCAAAGGAGAGAUCCGGCAAGAGAUGGGCUCGCGUCCGAUUAGCUGGUUGGUGAGGUAACGGCUCACCAAGGCGACGAUCGGUAGCCGGACUGAGAGGUUGGACGGCCACAUUGGGACUGAGACACGGCCCAGACUCCUACGGGAGGCAGCAGUGAGGAAUAUUGGUCAAUGGACGAGAGUCUGAACCAGCCAAGUCGCGUGAAGGAAGACGGCCCUACGGGUUGUAAACUUCUUUUGUAAGGGAAUAAAUAGUCUUACGCGCUAAGACGUUGCAGGUACCUUACGAAUAAGGAUACGGCUAACUCCGUGCCAGCAGCC
rnacentral:rRNA from 1 species